UAGUUGCCUGUUGGAACUCUAAAAAGACUGCCGGUUAUAAACCGGAGGAAGGCGGGGAUGACGUCAAGUCAGCAUGCCCCUUACACCCUGGGCUACACACGUGCUACAAUGGGCGAGACAAUAAGUUGCGAAUCUGUGAAGACCAGCUAAUCUCUAAACUCGUUCUAAGUUCGGAUUGCAGGCUGCAACUCGCCUGCAUGAAGUUGGAAUCGCUAGUAAUCGCUGGUCAGCCAUACAGCGGUGAAUUCGUUCCCGGGCCUUGUACACACCGCCCGUCACACCAUGGAAGCUGGUUACGCCCGAAGUCAUUACUCUAACCUUUAUGGAGGAGGAUGCCUAAGGCAGAAUUAGUGACUGGGGUGAAGUCGUAACAGGUAGCCAGGGCGAUUCCAGCACGCUGCGGCCGUACUAGUG
rnacentral:rRNA from 1 species